rnacentral:misc_RNA from 1 species
ACCUCCCUCUUGUUAUCUUCAUUGAGAGACUUAUAUUAAUCGUGUCUUGCCCCAGUUUAGUAAAAUACAGAAUACCCGAGUUUCAAGGAGUGCCUGCUAGCCCAGAGUGGCUGGUAGAAACAGAAAUUGGGAUGGAUAGUGUAAUUCAUGCUGAUAACGACUAUGAUGAGGUACAUAUUGUGGGAAGUAGCUCAGACGCAUUGUUAAGACAGAACCAUAUCUCACAUAAAAGAAGCUGGGGACCAAAGGGAAAGAGAUGGAACAACAAUCCUCGCACAUCGCUUCCGCUACUCCAGACUAAUUUGGUUUUCACAUCAAAAGAUGAAGCAGAAGACUUCCUGCGGGUACUUCUAUCUACAAUUGACAAAGCAAAAGAACAAGGUCGGAGCUCUGUGCAUCUUCUUCAUCAAAGUAGUCUGAGACAAAUAUAGAACGAUAUAAAGGAUCCAAGUAAUUUUCCAU